UCACAUUAAGCAACAUCUUAUCACAAUAUUCAUACAAUUUAUUGAAAAAAAAAAUCCCAAAAAAAUUAUCUCAAUGAUAUUUGUCAAACUUAAUCGGUCAUUUUUUCAAUUAUUUCUCAUUUACUAUGUAUUGAUUUUGUAGAUUUGUCUCUUUAUAAAACAGAUCAUCUUAAUUAGAUUACAAUCUAUUGAAAAAAAAAACCUGAAAAGCUAUUUCCAUGACAUCUAUCAAUACAUGAUUGAUUUUUUAAAUUAUUUCUUAUAUGCUAAGCAUUGGUUUUGCAGCUUUCGUCUUAUUAUAAAACAAAUCAUCUCAGUUAGAUUUGAAUUAGAAAUAGUUUUCAUGUUAAGUUUUUAAAAAAUGAACACAGAAAUACAAAUGUCUUUAUAAUCAAAUAGUUAAGUGUUAACGUUUGGUUUUUAAACGCAUGAACAGUAAAUCAUAAAGACGAUUUUUUGAGUUUUUUUUUAUGCUAAAGAAAACAAGGAUUGUUCUCGACAAAAACAGUUUUAGUUAUAAAUGGCAGACCCCCUGAGGCUACUUUUACACGCCAUUUUCUUAUGGUUCAUAUAUUUCAGGUUCCAGACUUUUCUUUGCCAUUUUCUUUUGCUACUCUAUGUUCUUCUUGAUAUCUAUUUAAAGCAGCUGAAUUUGAGCACCGAGAAGAAGUGGUAAGGACAAUAUCAACUGGACAUUUAAUUCUGGGCAAAUAAUGUAAGGAAUUGCUAUUCAGCUUUUAGUUUUGGGCCUUUUAAGUGUGUUUAUCCAUUUUGCGGUGCAUUAAUGUGGUACGAAGAAAGAGUUGAUACUUAAAAACAUUCUUUGAAUCCAAUUAUUUUUUAUGUUUUCAAGAAGGAAUAGUUAAGAUGGCUCAUUUUAGACCCACACCAACUUUCUUGGACCAUUUGUUAGAUUAUCAAGAAGGUCAGAGAGCAUCUAAAUUCAGAGAUAACAUAAGAGUCUACAACUCAAUGUUUCAAUUUAUUUCAAUUGGUGGUAAAGUUGACAAUUUUAUCAACAAUAAAGCAGAUCCAUAGGUCUUUAAAAUCAGUGGUUAGAAUCAUCAUAGGAUGGGGCCUCUAUUGCUAAUUUCAGGGAAAAGGCCUAAAUUUGCUCAAUUGUACAUUUAUGAUACAGAAAAUGAGACCUCAAACAGAAUGACUGUCAUUGAUAAAAACAUUGAAACUUUAGGAAUUGACAGAGAUGAAGUUGAUGGAUUAACAAAAAUGUUAGACCAAAAUAAUCAAAUUGUGAAAGCCUUUAGAACGGCCAGGGAUAGAUUUACCACAUUAGAUUACAUGCCUAUAAGGCUCAGAUUGGUUGGGAGAAGGAAUCAAAGAGAUAGAACAUAUGAUGCUCCUACAAGAUCUGAAGUUGCAGCUCUUAUUGUUUGGGAUUUUGGAGGAUUUGAUAGACAGCGAGAUAAAAUAGUUGAACAUAGAAUUGAAGGAUUGAAAAAGAUAAGUGAAUUGCACCAAUUUUUCAUGGCAAUGCAAUAUCUUUUACUAUUUCCUUAUGGUGAAGAUGGUUUCACUACAGAUAUCCCAUGUGUUAAUUCACCAAAAAGAAUAAGAGGGAAGUGAAAAACAGUUACUAUACGUGAGUACCAUGCAUACAUCAUUUAGUUAAGGAUCCUAUAUCAUAGUACUUUGUUAAGGGAAGGCAGGUUAUUUCAACAAUUCGUUGUAGAUGCCUAUGAUACUGUUGAUGAGAACAGAUUGCAAUUCAUAAAGAGGAAUCAAAAGAAUAUUAGAUCUGAAAUCUUGAAAGAUGUUAGAGAUGCAAUUGCGAGGGGUGAUUUAGAGGGAUCUUCAGUAGGCAAAGGGAUUAUACUUCUAGCAACUUUCAUCGAAAGCCCUCGAUAUCUCUUCCAAAACUAUCAAGAUACCAUGGCCAUCUGCAGAUUUUAUGGCUGUCCAAACCUUUUUAUCACAUUCACUUGCAAUGCAGGAUGGCUAGAAAUUCAAAAUGCAUUGUCAUUAAUUCUCGGGCAACACCUUGAAGACAGACCGGAUAUCAUAUCAAGAGUUGUCAAAAUAAAAUUAUGAUAUUUUUUAUGGAUAAUUUGACAAAGAAUAAUAAUUUUGGUCGGGUG